rnacentral:pre_miRNA from 1 species
GCAGCUCAGAGUGGAUGAUGUCAUUCUGGAGCGAUGACAUCAUUCACUCUAAGCUGACU